rnacentral:rRNA from 1 species
GAUCAAGUUAUGAAGGGCAGUAAAUGGAUGCCUUGGCGAUGGAAGGCGAUGAAGGACGUGGUUAGCUGCGAUAUGCUUCGGGGAGCUGAGAACAGGCUUUGAUCCGGAGAUUUCCGAAUGGGGCAACCCACCCGGGUUCGACCUGGGGAUUUCUUUCUGAAUUCAUAGGGAAGAAAGGCAAACCUGCUGAAUUGAAACAUCUAAGUAAGCAGAGGAAAAGAAAGCGAAUGCGAUUCCCUUAGUAGUGGCGAACGAAGGGGGAGUAGCCCAAACCAGGGGUUUUAAUCUCUGGGGUUGUAGGACCUCGCUGUGGAAUGGAGAAAGAUAGGAGAAACCCCUGGAAAGGGGUGCCGUAGAGGGUGAUGGCCCCGUAUCCGAAAUUUUGAUUCAUCCUAGAGGAAUCCUGAGUAAUACGGGAUAGGAGGAACCCCGUAUGAAGCUGUGCAGACCACUGCAUAAGGCUAAAUACUAUCCAUCGACCGAUAGUGAACGAGUACCGUGAGGGAAAGGUGAAAAGAACCCCGGGAGGGGAGUGAAAUAGAACCUGAAAUUUUCUGCCUACAAGCGGUCGGAGCCCGAAAGGGUGACGGCGUACCUUUUGCAUAAUGGGUCUGGGAGUUUUUGCAUCUAGCAAGCUUAAGGAUGGUUUCCGGAGGCGCAGCGAAAGCGAGUCUGAAUAGGGCGUUUAGUUAGGUGCAUAAAACCCGAAACGGAGGUGAUCUACCCAUGGCCAGGUUGAAGCUCGAGUAAAGUCGAGUGAAGGACCGAACCCGUGAACCUUGAGAAGUUCUGGGAUGAGCUGUGGGUAGGGGUGAAAGGCCAAUCAAACCCCGUAAUAGCUGGUUCUCUUCGAAAUAUAUUUAGGUAUAGCCUCGCACACUGAUUGCCGGAGGUAAAGCACUGAAAAGGCUAGGGCCCGUACUAGGGUACCAACCCUUAUCAAACUCUGAAUGCCGGCAAGUGCAGUGCGGGAGUCAGUCCGCGGGGGAUAAGCUCCAUGGACGAGAGGGAAAGAGCCCAGACCGCCAAUUAAGGCCCCUAAAUCACCGCUAAGUGGAAUUAAGGAGGUGGGUUUACAUAGACAGUAGGGAUGUUGGCUUAGAAGCAGCCAUCAUUUAAACAGUGCGUAAUAGCUGACCUAUCGAGUGAGCCUGCGCCGAAGAUGAUCGGGACUAAGUGGUGUGCCGAAAUUGCGGAUUCCGCAUUUUUUUGCGGAAUGGUAGAAGAGCGUUCCAACUGGGCUGAAGCCGGAGGGGUAACCGACGGUGGACCGGUUGGAAGUGAGAAUCCAGACAUGAGUAACGAUAAGCACGAUGAGAAUUCGUGCCGCCGUAAGGAUAAGGUUUCCUGGGGCAGGGUCGUCCGCCCAGGGUUAGUCGAGAGCUAAGGCGAGGCCGUAAGGAGUAGUCGAUGCACAAUAGAUUAAUAUUUCUAUACUAGUUUUUCCAUGUUAGUAUCGAAGGAGUGACGGAGAAGGUUAGUUCAGCGCAGUGGUGAAUAUCUGCGUCUAAGUCUCCAAUGCCGUUUCGUAGGAAAAUCCGCGGGACACAUAGGCAAAGGGAUGGGGUACUUCCGGGGCAACCCGGAGGGAAUUGAAUGAGAUCCAGCUUCCAAGAAAAGCUUCGUCGAUGGUGGAAAAGUUACUCGUACCGCAAACCGACACAGGUAUCCGGGAUGAAUAUUCUAAGGCGCGUGAGUGAAGUCUCUCCAAGGAACUCGGCAAAUUAACCCCGUAUCUUCGGUAGAAGGGGUGCCGGCUUUAUUGCCGGCCGCAGUAAAUUGGUCCAACCGACUGUUUAGCAAAAACACAGCUCUCUGCCAAGUCGCAAGACGAUGUAUAGGGAGUGACACGUGACCGAUGCGGAAAGGUGAAACCCGGAGGUGCAAGCUUCUGGACUAAGCCCCCGUGAAUGUCGGCCGUAACUAUAACGGUCCUAAGGUAGCGAAAUUCCUUGUCAGGUAAGUUCUGACCUGCACGAAUCGUGUAACGAGUUGGGUACUGUCUCGGAGAGAUGCUCAGUGAAAUUGUAGUCGCGGUGAAAAUGCCGCGUACCUGCAGCAGGACGGAAAGACCCUAUGGACCUUUACUGUAACCUGGUAUUGGUAUUUGAUUUUUGAUGCGUAGAAUAGGUGGGAGACCGCGAAACGGCACUUCAGGGUGUCGUUGAGUCGCCGGUGAAAUACCACUCUUCAAUGAUUAGAUAUCUAACCGUCCGCCCUAAUCGGGCGGCGGGACCGUGCUAGGGGGUCAGUUUGACUGGGGCGGUCUCCUCCCAAAGUGUAACGGAGGAUUGCGAAGGUUCUCUCAGGUCGGAUGGUAACCGACCGUAGAGCGUAUAGGUAUAAGAGAGCUUUACUGUGAGACCAACAAGUCGAGCAGUUACGAAAGUAGGUCUAAGUGAUCCGGUGGUUGAAUGUGGAAUUGCCAUCGCUUAAAGGACAAAAGGUACCCUAGGGAUAACAGGCUGAUAGCGCCCAAGCGUUCAUAGCGACGGCGCUGUUUGGCACCUCGAUGUCGGCUCAACACAUCCUGGGGCUGGAGAAGGUCCCAAGGGUUUGGCUGUUCGCCAAUUAAAGUGUUACGUGAGCUGGGUUCAGAACGGCGUGAGCCAGUUCGGUCCUCUAUCCGCUGUGGGCGUUGGAGAUUUGUGGGGUUCGUUUUCUAGUACGAGAGGACCGAAAACGACAAGCCGCUGGUGUUCCGGUUAUCAUGUCAGUGGUAGCGCCGGGUAGCUAUGCUUGGAAUGGAUAAGCGCUGAAAGCAUCUAAGCGCCAAGCCACUCCCGAGAUGAGAUCUCCCGAAGCUUUGAGCUUCCUAAAGGGCCCUGGUAGAUCACCAGGUUGAUAGGUCGGAUGUGUAAGUGUAGUAAUGCAUUGAGCUAACCGAUACUAAUGGCCCGUGCGACUUAUACCA